CAGUCGCCGCGGUAAUACGAAGGGGGCUAGCGUUGCUCGGAAUGACUGGGCGUAAAGGGCGCGUAGGCGGUUUUCCAAGUUAGAUGUGAAAUUCCUGGGCUCAACCUGGGGACUGCAUUUGAUACUGGGAGGCUUGAGUAUGGAAGAGGGUCGUGGAAUUCCCAGUGUAGAGGUGAAAUUCGUAGAUAUUGGGAAGAACACCGGUGGCGAAGGCGGCGACCUGGUCCAUAACUGACGCUGAGGCGCGAAAGCGUGGGGAGCAAACAGGAUUAGAUACCCCCGUAGUCCCUGUCUCUUAUAC
rnacentral:rRNA from 1 species